AACGCAACUGGCGCUCUCGAGCAAUCGGGAGCAUGUCUGCAUGAGCAUCCUAUUGUCUAACCUCGGCGCGCGCCCUCGAGCCUCGAGAGCGGCGCGACCGGCCAUGGGCAUCCAACCGAUCAUGGCAUCGCGUGGUUGCUUGAAAUGCAGGAGGGGAGACCGGUUUCUGGUGUGUGCGCAUUGCGCGCGCGCACCCAGGCCCAGCAAGGCGCGCCCGCCCGAUCCGUGUUGAAAGCAUGGUCUUUUCGCUGGUCGCAGGGCGCCCUGUGCUAGGAAACAAACCGGCUCCCUGUUGUCUUUGCGGGCGCGCAGCCAUCUCCACCAUGGAUAGUGGCGCACGCCCGCAUCAUCCCUCUGGAUCUCAUGUCAGGCAAGACUACCCGCUGAACUUAA
rnacentral:misc_RNA from 1 species